rnacentral:rRNA from 1 species
UACGGAGGGUGCAAGCGUUGUCCGGAAUCACUGGGCGUAAAGGGCGCGUAGGCGGCCUGGUAAGUAGGGGGUGAAAUCCUGCGGCUUAACCGCAGGGCUGCCUUCUAAACUGUCAGGCUUGAGCACGGUAGAGGCAGAUGGAAUUCCCGGUGUAGCGGUGGAAUGCGUAGAGAUGCGGAGGAACACCAGUGGCGAAAGCGGCUUUCUGGUCCUUAACUGACGCUGAGGCGCGAAAGCAUGGGGAGCGAACGGG